UACGUAGGGUGCGAGCGUUGUCCGGAAUUAUUGGGCGUAAAGAGCUCGUAGGUGGUUUGUUACGUCUGCUGUGAAAACCUAGGGCUUAACCCUGGGCUUGCAGUGGAUACGGGCAGACUAGAGGUAGGUAGGGGAGAAUGGAAUUCCUGGUGUAGCGGUGAAAUGCGCAGAUAUCAGGAGGAACACCGGUGGCGAAGGCGGUUCUCUGGGCCUUACCUGACACUGAGGAGCGAAAGCGUGGGGAGCGAACAGG
rnacentral:rRNA from 1 species